CAACCCCCAUCCCAUUGCCCCCAUCGCAAGCAAAUCAUUUGAGGUUAUGACGUUUUUAUUUUCAAAGAUAAUUAAUAUUUUCCAAUGAAAAUGAUUGGAAAACGAGAUAAAUUGACCGCAGACAAGAUAAAAAACAGGUAUAAGAAAAAUCUUUUUCACUUUUAAUAAUGAAAAAACUACUGGGGUUUCGGUAGCAACAGCUGUAUACAGUACAAAGGCGCUGUUUAAAGACGAAAGCUCUUCAAAAUCAUCACCCCAUAAGACAGUUAAUUCGCCAAAAACUAAAUCAGUUGAUGUUGAUGAUUUUGUGAAGAAUGCUGAAAAGAAAAAUCUAUUAAAAAAACCUAUUUGAGAAGAGAAAAGAGCAUAUUUCAAGGAGAAAAGGUAUAGGAUUACAUAAAGGAUGCAGAUUUUAUUUUAGUUAACAUCUAAAUCAGUGGAUUAUCAUGAUAAUAUGAAUGCUAACCUUUUCAAAAAGUAGCCCAUGGAGCAGUUGCUUCCUAAUUUAGAUAUCAGUUUAUUAAUUCUCCUGGAUGUCCUUUAUCAGUCAAGAUUAAAGAAAAAGCUUCCUAGCUUAAUAUUGCCUAAGAGAGAACUAUAAAAAAAUAUUACUCAAAUAUAACUCAUCAUAAAAACAUGUUGAAAGCAGAACUAAAUUCACUCGCCAAAUUAUCCAAAAAAAGUUUAUAAAACUGAUGAAUUUGCCAAUGAAUGGGGCCACAAAGUAGUUGGAUUACCUCCAUAUAAUUAUCAAUUCAAUCCCAUUGAAAUGGUUCAAGCGAAUUGCAAACAACAUUACAAUAAACAUAUAGGUAGAGAUGAAGCACUAUGUAAAGUGAUAUCAGAAGAUUGUUCAAAAUGUUAAACAAAUUAAAAUUUUAGUACAUUAUUAACUAUAUCAUAAAAUACAGUGUGUUCAUUAAUUAUCCUACCCGACGUCAUCCUUGCAAGUAUGCAACCAAUAUCACAGCAAUUGGUAUUGUAAUAUGGUUGCAUACUUGCAAUGAUGACGUCAGGUAGGAUAAUUAAUUAACACAGUGUAUAUACCUAAUAUAUUAUAAUCCAACUGCAUGUUUUAUUUAUAUAGAUAUGAAAUAUAAAUUUUAAAAAAAAUCGUAUCUCAAGAACGAAUUGAGAUAUCAUCAUGAAAUAAAAAGCAAUUUAAAGUUACUAAGUUGAAUUAAGUUGUAAGGGAUGUUUAUAAAUGAAAAGUAAUAAAAAACAAUUUCUUUCUAGUAA